rnacentral:rRNA from 1 species
GACGAACGCUGGCGGCGUGCCUAAUACAUGCAAGUCGAGCGAGUCUGCCUUGAAGAUCGGAGUGCUUGCACUCUGUGAAACAAGAUACAGGCUAGCGGCGGACGGGUGAGUAACACGUGGGUAACCUGCCCAAGAGAUCGGGAUAACACCUGGAAACAGAUGCUAAUACCGGAUAACAACAGAUGAUGCCUAUCAACUGUUUAAAAGAUGGUUCUGCUAUCACUCUUGGAUGGACCUGCGGUGCAUUAGCUAGUUGGUAGGGUAACGGCCUACCAAGGCGAUGAUGGAUAGCCGAGUUGUGAGCCUGAUCGGCCACAUUGGAACUGAGACACGGCCCAAACUCCUACGGGAGGCACCAGUAGGGAAUCUUCCACAAUGGACGCAAGUCUGAUGGAGCAACGCCGCGUGAGUGAAGAUGGGUUUCGGCUCGUAAAGCUCUGUUGUUGGUGAAGAAGGACAGGGGUAGUAACUGACCUUUGUUUGACGGUAAUCAAUUAGAAAGUCACGGCUAACUAGGUG